AGGAAAUGGAGUUGUCACUCUCAGAUGAGGAGUCUGACACAGAAACUGGGAGAAAGGUUUCGAAAAAAGGAAGAUCGUUCAAGAAAAGUUUUCGCAAGUAAAUGUUAGUAUAAACUAUUUUUCUUUUUAUGCCAUGCACCAUUGUGAAAGUUUGUGUUCCAUGUAUAUAGCAUCGCACAGCACUCGCACGAAGCUAACGCUAUGAUCUAUAAUUUAAAAAUUUUGUAAAGAUAAAUCAUUAGGAAAUUAGUUAUAUAUGAUAUAAAUAAUUAAAUUUAAUAAUUAUAUUAAUAUAUAAAGUGUAUACAGUAUCGAAGUAAUCUGUACUAAAAUAACAAAAUGCCAAGCGCUGUUGUUAUAUAACUUUCAGAAUCGUAAAAUUAAACUUUAAUGCAGAAUAGUACGAAUGAUUAAAUCUAAUGCAAUAUUAAAUAUUAAUAAUAUAACUCAUAUAUGAAUCUAAAUUUUGUUAACAG